rnacentral:lncRNA from 1 species
AGACUAUAUAUUUUUUCUCUAUCAGAGGCGGUAGACAAAGAAUGUCUUCCUUCUUGAAUAUCCAUAUGUUCAUUUUUUUUCUCCUUUGUGGUGGUGAGUAGAAGGGGAGGAUGUGGUUGCUACAGUAGUAUAGUGGCAUGGAGAGGAUGAGGCGGUGGCAAUGGAAGUGAAGUGACAUUGAGCAGCACUAAAAAUGAUUGAUGGAGGGUGCACUUGAUGGUGAAGGCUAUCACAAAGAUUAAGAGAGCAAAUAGUGAUGAGAGGGUGGAUCACUAUGGGACGUACGAGGGAGGUCAUUGGUCGAUAAAGGUGGAGGCUCGAGGGAGUUGAUUGGAUGGGUGGCGAGCAGUCCAUAUCUAGC